GAGAAGUUAGUUUGUUCUUUUUCUGUGUGACUCUAAGUAUCUUACUUAACCUCUAUGAACUUUGAUCUUCCUUUUAAGUGAGGAUGAAAGCACCAACUUUACAGAGUUCCCAUACUGAGUGAAGGCUAAGAAAGUGGCUGACUCACCACAAAUACUCAAUGAAAUGUUCGCUGAAUUGGAAACCACAAGAAAAUGUCUUCUACAUAUAACAAGUAAUAUAAAUAAUUUUAAGGAGAAAGUUUAAUCCUCCUAACUUUCUUCUGCUGAAUCCCUUGGGUGCGACUUCCUGCUGGGAUACUGUGCAAUACGGAGUCCAUGACUAUGUGCAUGUGGAAUGACCACGACUGAGAAGACAGUGAGGCAAGACCUCGUUCCCCCUUCCUCACACUUCCUGGCUCAACAACCAGAAUUCCAGUUAAGGGCUGGAGCCUCUCCAAACCAGCAGCCUCCCUGACCUCUCCCAAGAGGCCUAUGCUUCCAGCCACCCUACCCAUUGCCUCCACUGGGAGUUCUCCUGAAUGCGUAUCUGAGGCAUCCAUGUCCUACGAAGACACUUGCACAGCUCUCUACAACCACAGAGGAAAUAAGUGUGCACCCAGAU
rnacentral:lncRNA from 12 species